GGUGGCUCAAUGGUAGAGUGUUUGCCUUGCAUGCAUGAGGCCCUGGGUUUGAUUCCUCAGCACCA
rfam:Dipodomys ordii contig_55224, whole genome shotgun sequence.